UUUAUACUGUCAGGUUUGAGGUAAUGGUAGGUUAUACUUUGUGUAUAAGUUAUUAAGGGGAGAUAAUCAAUCCAAAUGACUUCAUAGGGGGUGAACAAUAAAGAUUUGUUUUAUACUGUCAGGUUUGAGGUAAUGGUAGGUUAUACUUUGUGUAUAAUGUAUUAAGGGGAGAUAAUCAAUCCAAAUGACUUCAUAGGGGUGAACAAAAAGAUUUGUUUUAUACUGUCAGGUUUGAGGUAAUGGUAGGUUAUACUUUGUGUAUAAUGUAUUAAGGGGAGAUAAUCAAUCCAAAUGACUUCAUAGGGGGUGAACAAUAAAGAUUUGUUUUAUACUGUCAGGUUUGAGGUAACAGUAGGUUAUACUUUGUGUAUAAUGUAUUAAGGGGAGAUAAUCAAUCCAAAUGACUUCAUAGGGGGGUGAACAAUAAAGAUUUGUUUUAUACUGUCAGGUUUGAGGUAAUGGUAGGUUAUACUUUGUGUAUAAUGUAUUAAGGGGAGAUAAUCAAUCCAAAUGACUUCAUAGGGGG
rnacentral:lncRNA from 1 species